AAAUGUUAAAGGGAGAGAACUGUGGCCUAGUCUGUUUGAUAUUCUCUAUUUUGAGUUUCUAGGCGUUUGUUCCCUGGCUCACUAAAACCUUUGGGUCUUCCUUUGCAAGGUCAGGUAAGAGACGCUGAUCAUACCUCCAGGGGAGAGUCGUCCUUCAUUGUGCCUUAAGGAAAAUGUUGCAAGUACUGUUCUUGCCUCUGGGAUUUCCUUUGGGAGACUGGGUAUAGAUGCUGGUCAGGGGAACAGACAUCACAACUUGACUCUCAAAUGCUAUUUACAUCUCUGCAUUCUUUUUGUGGCAUUAGAUUGUGAAUGUUGGCCAUGCCUCUGUGUACUCCUUCCUGAAGUUUGUUGCAUUUCUUGCAACCUGGCUUUGACCAGGUUGUAGUUCCUGAAAACCAUGCACUUGUGUUUCAACUCUCCUCACCCCACAUGAUCUAGUUCUACUGACUAAAUUUCAGCAUAUAACUAUCAUUUUUCCAGGUCUUCAGAUCACAGAGAGUCAUGGGUGGAGAACACACACAAAAAAGUUCUUUUACAAAUGGUGUUCUCAGUCUGUUGUAGUCAGGUUGUUGGUCACUAGAAGAGAGGGUUUACUUGGCGUCUCCUAAGGCUGAGGCCGUGGGCUUUCUGUCCAGUUUUCUUUUCCUGCUCCUUUCAUUGAGGAGCUACAAGGAUGGCUCAGCAGUUAAGAACACAUACUGUUCUUGCAUAAGUCUCAAAUUUAGUUCCUAGCACCAACUUCAGAUAGUUCCCAACAUCAUCUAACUCGAGCUCCAAGGUAUCCACCACCCUCUUCUUCUAGUCUCUGUGGGCAACUGCACUCAUGUACACACACACACACACACACACACACACACACACACACACACAAAUUGAUCUAUUUAUGUAUUUAUUUAUAUUUUUCAAAUAAUAUAAAACAAAAACAAAUGUAUUACAAUUUUAAAAGGCAAACAAACAAAAGAAAAAGAGCCCAAGGCAAGGCACAAGAGUCAGGGUCUCCAUAAAAACACUAAAUUGGAAGCCAUAAACUAUACUCAGAGAACCCAGAGCAGACCCCUACAGGCCCUAUGCAUGUUGCUUUGGUCUCUGUGCAUUCUUAUGAGCUUUACUUGUAUUAAUGGGGCCUUGUUUUCUUGCAUAUACACAUUUUAAAGUGUCUACAUGUCCAUCAGUGAAAUUGCACUGCAAACAUUCUGAACCUAUCUGGCUUAAGCUGUCAUUCCCACUGUCUGCUUAGUUUGGUACUUCCCAAAGUAAGCCAAGCUCUCUGAGAAGGGUCAUAGACAUUCUCUCCUGCUUGCUAAACCUUCCUGUUUUAUUUUUCCAUAAAAUAUAGAGAUUUGAGGCUGGAACUCACCUCUUCUGAUAACUGUCAUCCAACUCUCCACAUUUUAUUCUGGGGAGAUUUUAACAAGAAUGUGCUUGCGUAUCUGAUCCAGCUAUAUUUAACACCGGGAGAAGAGAUGGUGAAGUAGAAAACAGUUAGUCAUACUAUAAUGCACAAAACAAAUUUCAAAAUAGAAGAUGGAGCUUUUGAGGAGUGUCCCAAUUAAAGAAUUAACUCAAGCAUUUCAAAUUCAACCUUGGCACCUGAGGUCCUGAAAGAGAAGUAGACUGUGGGGGCCUGAUCUGUGUGGCUAUAAUUUGGCAACUGCUCAUGAAGACAAAAGUGCUUGCCAAAAGAAGGGCCCCUGGAAGUGUGCACUAGAAUCAGAAGUUUUCUUGUGGAUUACCUAUCCAACAGCCCUUGGGUCAUCAUAGGUCUCCGCUAAAUCUCUCAGCUCCUCCCAAACCAAAGUCCUCAUCUUAACAUCUUGCAUGUUUCAUGGCCUACCGGCUCAGAAACACAUGUCAAGUCUCCAUCAAGUUACUGACUCAGAGCCAAGGAGAAGGGAUCACAGUCCUAUUUAUGCACAGACCCUCUAAGCCCAAUGCUAAUCUGAGGCAGUCAGCACUGCCUUCAAUCUCAUGCCAUUUUCUCACUCCAGGUUCCUUAUGCACUGGGUGAUUUCCAACAUGGGUGUCUUACCGACGAUGUCCCUGAACACAGAACCUGACGUCUACAUGCAAUCAUGGCCUCUCAGUUGCUUAUUAAAGCAGAUAUCUUAAAGUUUAUAAGGUACUUUUGGGCUAUCCCUUCUGUCUCACAAGGCUUUUUGCUGCCACCUUGUGACUUCUGACCCUUCUGCCACUGAGAUAGAACUCUGCAUGUUUCUGUGAUGGAACAAAAGGCUUGGGGUGGGUGUCCCCUGUGAUACUGGUAAACCAGUAUUUACCCAGUAUUUACAAAAGCUACUGUUGUUUACAGCAAAACCACAGUGGGAAUAGAGGAAGUAUUCCAAACAGGAGUCACUAAUUCUUUUCUGGCUGUUUCAGCAUAAACACUAAUCAGUUACACUUCAACUUACAUACAUAUUGAUUGAGGCUCUCUUAAAAGGCCUUGUCACCAGGCUUCAUUCUUAUUUGUGAGAAUUUUUCUAGGUGAUUGUAAUAUAUCUUGGACAGGGUUCAUCCAAAAAUAGAUUGUAGUAAAAACUAUUGGAAAUUCUACCUUAAGGGUGGCAAAAUGUGAGUAUAAGAGGUUCUAAGUCCUGUAUCCUGUGCAGAUGGUAUACUAGUAGAAAGAAUGAAAUCUACCAUAAACAAAACCAAGCACACUUUUGUGGGGGGAACGUAAGCAUGGAGACAGCCUGUGGAACAGUAUGGUGCUGGGAAGUAAGGGCUAGAGAUAAGUAAAUUAGUGGGAGAAGAAAAUGACUGUGAGUGACUGUGUGUCCAGCUCAGUGGGAGAAAAUGCACACAUGGCAUUUGGAGGGAAUUGGGUUCCAUAUCCAGCACUUGUAAAAGAAAAGACAAUGAUUGUAAGAUAUGCCAGGGAUUCCAGUGGAGGGACAAGAAUCAUUGGCAGUACAAAGGACUGCCUGACCCUCAGAGAAGUGAAGUUCCAGGGAGUGGAGAUGUCUGGUGGGGUGGGGGUUGUGGGGGAGGACAUCCUCUUGGAGACAGGGGAGGAGGAACUGUCCUGUUGGAGGGCAGAGCUGGAGGGGGAUAAUGACUGAACUAUAUAAAAAAGAUUAAAGAAAAAGAAAAAGAAAAAGAAAAGAAAAGAAAGCCACAAAACAGAACUGGCACCAGCAGCCAGAAGCUUAUGGAGGAAGGUGAUGGGGGCUUCAUCCAGAGGGAGCUCUCCCAUCAUAACAAUGUAACUGUGACCACAAAGAUGUAAAAUCGUCCCUAGGACAUCCCAUGCUGGGGAUGAGAACAGCUUGGAGCCCUUGUUUCUGGAGGUGGCCUUCCCCCCAGGAAGAGAGUUUUAUAACCACAGCUAAAUCUACAUAUGUGUAUUCCUAGAUUCUGAAUCUUUUCUAGAAAAUAACUAUACAGAUGCAGGAGAGAAAGUGAGAAAGGAUGAACCUUUCUCUCCUUAGUUCUGGAAAAAUCUUUCACUGUAUCCAUUUCCUUUACUAACAAUUUUUGUCUUCCAGGUCUCUCAAGAAGGGAGCAAGUCGUGGACCUCAUACUCUUUUUCUAACAACAUGAGGCUUAUAGGCAUUUAUGACUGAGUCCUUGGUGACUGUCCUAGAUUACUAUCCUGAGAACUAGGAAGAGUGAUUGAGUGGGAAAUAAACGAGGCUUUGCACAGUGUGGCUUAUUCUUAUAUUCUCAGCACCUAGGAGGCAAGAGGAUUUCUAGCCUAGCAAAACAAUGAGAUCCAAAGUCAGUGGGAGACCUGGUCUCAAGAGAAUAAGGUGGAGAGUGAGAGCUGAUAACUGACAUCCUCCUCUGAUCCUCAGAACUCCACAGAUGUGCACACAGUCAUGUGCAUCUGUAUACAUGUACAUAUACCAACAACCACACACAUAAAAUUAUAAAAGAAGUAAACUGUGUUUGUGUGUGUGCGCGCGCGCACAUGAGCGCUUGCGUUAAAAUUAAAUUUUACAAAUGCCUAAGGCUGGAGUGGAUACAGGUAGAGCAAUCAGCACUUUCAAUCCUGACUAUUAAGAACACAAUUUGGUUUGAUUAAGAAAACGAUUUCCCUCUAUUAGCUGAAGCUCAGCAAACACCCUGUGUCAGCAUUUCAACUCUCUGAUCUGUAUCCAACAGAAAAGUGUGUGUCAGGAAAGGAAAUACAAGGAGAUGGCCACAGUGGUAAGUGCUGAUGAUAAUAAUAAUCCUAGGAGUUCAAAUCUCUGCCGGGAAGGCAAUGGAUGGAUUAACAAUAACAUAGCCAGAUUGAGAGGCUUUUACAAAUUUACUCGCCAAACAAAUGGUCCAGUUAAGACAUAUGAGGAGAAAGAGCCACAAACACCCACUGCUUGCUAUUUCUAGUGGAGGGAAGAUGUGGUUUCACACAAAGCCUUUGAACAUUUGAUCUUUCCAAACCACAAAACUCAGUUAACUGCAUGGUUUUAUGUCAAAGCCCUGUACCUUUAGCACUGCCCUCCUGGGACUCAGAUUGUCUUGUGUACCUCUUGUAUCUUCCACAGAUGUUUUAAGUUCAUUCACUAAAAAGAAAGGAGAGAGAGGAAAAAAAAGAAAGACAGAAAGAAAGAAAGAAAGAAAGAAAGAAAGAAAGAAAGAAAGAAAGAAAGAAAGGAAGGAAGGAAGGAAGGAAGGAAGGAAGGAAGGAAGGAAGGAAGAGAGAGAGAGAGAGAGAAAGAAAGAAGGAAGGAAAG
rnacentral:lncRNA from 1 species